CAGGGUGGCCUAACUUCUUGAAAAAAAACCAACCCAAGAGAUGAGGAGAAAACAUCCUGUGCUGAGGAUAAUUGUGUUCUUGGUGACAGGAGCUUCCUCCACAUCUGCCCGUGGCAGGGGUUGCAACAAGAGGGUCUUUAAGGUUCACCCCCAACCCAAACCAGUCUGGGAUUUUAGGAUACCUUGACAGAUACAGCAAAAUCAGAUUGAUUCUGCUCACAGGCCUGAGCUGACUUUUCCCCUCAAUGGUUUAAUCUUUGAACCCCUUCAAAAUACCUCCUCAAGCAAAAAUCAGUGGGGUCAUAUUUGUAAAAGAUUACCUCGCUGGCAAGUAAAGAAAAACAAAACAAAACCCACCAGAUAAAAACCAGCUGAGUGGGCUGAAAAGAGGAUUGGGGAAGAAGCUCAGGAUAUAGCUCUGUGUCUCCAGUCUGUGCUCUGGUAGCCUCUGCCUCAGUGACUCACUUUCCUUCUGCCACAUGGGAUGAGGAUGAUUAAAUGCACCAGCAUUUGUAGAAAAACCCUCAAAACCCCAAAUCUUCCCCACAAAAGUGACAGAAAAAUCUUGAGACGUUAAGACUGCUCUCUGGCCUGGUGAGAUUCUCUAAGGAGCCAGGUAAUUGGCUUCCAACUACACUGACUGUAGUAAUAAACUGAUGUUAAGGCUGUCACUACUGAUAAAAAGGAAUUAUUGAGUCAGGCGGGAAUGAAGCAGGUGUUGCAAGACAGAGGGAGCCAUUCCAGGGGCAGCCUGUGCUUCUGCAGAGCUCCUCAAACACUCACCUGGAGGGCCUGGGAUUGCACCCAAUGCAGGAGGACCCAAGACUUAGAAAAAAGGCUUCACACUGACAAAGCCAGGGAUAGGAGCUGGAGUUAAACCUGCAUUGAAACUUCACCACUGCCUGUGGAAUGGAGACAACUCCACACCCAAGGCACUUUUGCCACGAGAAACACAGGGAGCAUUUUCCAGGACCCAGCAAUGCUCUGAGUGCCUUCUGCAGGGAGCUGAACUGCUCUUUCCCAGAAGUGGCUUCUCCAUCCGUGGAAGUGUUCCAGGCCGGGUUGGAUGGAGCAUCCUGGGUUAGUGGAAGGUGUCCCUGCCCAUUCCUUUCCAUUUCAGAACCACAGAUGGCAGCACGAGCCUGGGAAUCGCUGCUUUGCUGCUCCUACGGGGGAGCAAGGCGAUCCUAAAAACCCCCGGAGAAACCGAGCGGGAAAGUGAAUUCAAAUUAUUUGUAUAAAAAUUGGGCAAAAAUAAAAAGGGCGAAGUGCCAAGUCUUUAAAAGCCUAAAGGCAUUGAAACACUUUUUAAUAUUAAAUGUGCUAUCAGUUUAAGGAACUUCCAUUGCUUAUGUCU